GACGAACGCUGGCGGCGUGCUUAACACAUGCAAGUCAAGGGGGCCCAGUAGCAAUACUGGGCAACCGGCGAACGGGUGCGUAACACGUGAGCAACCUACCGAAAUGUGGGGGAUAGCCGGCCUAACGGCCGAGUAAUACCGCAUACGCUCUCGAUGAGGCAUUUCAUCGAGAGGAAACCUACGGGACAUUUCGAGGGGCUCGCGGCCUAUCAGCUAGUUGGCGAGGAACGGCUCACCAAGGCAACGACGGGUAGCUGGUCUGAGAGGAUGGCCAGCCACAUUGGGACUGAGAUACGGCCCAGACUCCUACGGGAGGCAGCAGUGGGGAAUCUUGCGCAAUGGCCUAACGGCUGACGCAGCGACGCCGCGUGUGGGAUGAAGCUCUUCGGAGUGUAAACCACUGUUGCCCGGGACGAAUAGCUCGAUUAAUCGAGCCUGACGGUACCGGGUGAGGAAGCACCGGCUAACUCCGUGCCAGCAGCCG
rnacentral:rRNA from 1 species